UGACCUCUGACCUCAAAUCAGGUAGAUAGCCGACUU
rnacentral:rRNA from 1 species